rnacentral:rRNA from 1 species
GGGAACCCUGACGCAGCCACGCCGCGUGCCGGAAGACGGCCCUAUGGGUUGUAAACGGCUUUUAUUAGAGAAGAACCCGGGUCUUUCGAGACCCGCUGACGGUAUCUAACGAAUCAGCACCGGCUAACUUCGUGCCAGCAGCCGCGGUAAUACGAAGGGUGCAAGCGUUAAUCGGAAUUACUGGGCGUAAAGCGGAGUGUAGGCGGUUUCGUGUGUCGGAUGUGAAAGCCCCGGGCUCAACCUGGGAAUUGCAUUCGAAACUGCGGAACUAGAAUAUGGUAGAGGAAGACGGAAUUCCACGUGUAGCGGUGAAAUGCGUAGAUAUGUGGAGGAACACCAAUGGCGAAGGCAGUCUUCUGGGCCAAUAUUGACGCUGAGGCUCGAAAGCGUGGGUAGCAAACAGGAUUAGAUACCCUGGUAGUCCACGCCGUAAACGAUGAGAACUAGACGUUGGUUGACAUAGUCGAUCAGUGUCGCAGCUAACGCGUUAAGUUCUCCGCCUGGGGAGUACGGUCGCAAGACUA